GUCGUAGCACAACCUUAAAUGAGGUGCCGCCGUCGCCGCCGAUGAUGCUGAACGGACGUGCCGCGUCCCCAUCCAGAACCAUCCCUGCUCAACACCUUCUCCGUUGCUCACCAUGGCGUCGUAGUUGUUGCCGGACCCAUUGCCACCAGAUAGUCACGGCCUCUUCGUAACUUCACUCCGUUCAUGUUCGUCGCCGCUCGUGCCACCCUCCCGCGGCUGUAACUCCCUCUCCCUUCCUCCUCUCACCGCAGGCCUCAUCACGCCCUCAUCACCCAUCGUUGCUGGUUCUGCCCGCUGUUGCUGGAGAUCGUGACCAUGGAACUCACGUCGUCGUCCUAGCGCUCCUCGCGAUGUUGCUGCUCCAGGGCGUCAUCCUCAUGUCAACGGUGGAGGGCCUUGUGUGGAUCAUGCAAGAAGCUCCACAAGUUCCUCAUCAAGAAGAUCAGGCAAACUGGUUGGAGGGAUCUUAUCAGAAAUGUAGCGGCGGACUACUCAUCUCUUUGGAGAGCGGAAACAGCCUUACUUUCCAACUUGAUAAGCGAGGUUACAAGUCACC
rnacentral:lncRNA from 1 species